rnacentral:sRNA from 1 species
GUAACACCGAAACCUAUCCGCGAAAAUAAUGCGGGGAAAGAGUUGUGCUAGCUUCUCUUGCCCGUGACAUGGGACGCCAUCCGCUCAUAGUGUCCACGUAAAAGCUAUACAUGGUGGAGGAAUAAAACCCAGAUUUGUGACAACGUUGCUCCUCUGCUUUUGGACUCCCCUGUAACCCUAACACUUUUCGAUCUCAGCAGCAUAAUGAGAGAAUAUCAAAUGGAAGCCGAUCUAAUACACCAUGAUUCAGAUAUCCUGCCCCAGGCACAAAUCACAAAUUUCGAUUUGAUAUUAGUCAGAUACAGUCAUGCAUCCUUUCCCGACUCUAACCAAUGACGAACAACCAAGAGCAAAUUUUUAAACGAGGUGGGAUAUCUCUCUUCCCUCGACGGCGCCCAUUCCCUCCCGCAAAAAGUCCAAUCCCGUCCCAUGUGUAACACUUCUAGUCGACCUCAGCACGCCUGCCACCCCUGGGGAAAUACCCCAUCACAGCUAACGUCCUCCCCAUUCCACACCCCACUUAUCAAGUAGACCAUCCCCUCAAUUCCCGAACCACCCCCGGAUACCCGCAACCAUUUGCGACGCCGCGGGCAACGCUACCACACCGGCUCCCAUAGCGCCAAUAGCGGGAACAACAUUCGCCGCAACACCACCCAUCGCAAUGCUCUGGCACGUUGCAAAUAGAGUCCCGGCCUCCACCGACCCAAGACUAGAUUGCCAUAUCGUGGCAAACGUGCCAGCAGCAGGGCCGAUGGGGGUAAACCCAACCAGCCCGAGAAAAGGAGAUACUGUAAUUGACGUGACGAUUAUAGCCGCACCCGUCGCGCAUUGACGGCCGUUUUCCUUCAGGUAGUCGCCUGAGGUAUCAAGGAACUUGACGGCGAGGGUUUUGGGGUUCCAUUUUGCCUGCAAUGUUUGUAAGAGUGAGAGUGAUUGUUUCAACGUCCGGUAGCUGCAUUUCGGACUUCAAAGUAUUUUGGUUUAUUGUAUUUCGCAAAGCUUUCAGUGGCCGGUGUAGCGGAGUGGAGAUGAGAAUGGAAACCUUUCAUAUGUAUACUAGUAUUGAAGGGUUGGAUGUGGUAGG